AUUGAACGCUGGCGGCAGGCCUAACACAUGCAAGUCGAACGAGUGGCGGACGGGUGAGUAAUGUCUGGGAAACUGCCCGAUGGAGGGGGGUAACUACUGGAAACGGUAGCUAAUACCGCAUACCAUCGGAUGUGCCCCGAGGGGGGUAGCUAGUAGGUGGGGUAACGGCUCACCUAGGCGAAGAUCCCUAGCUGGUCUGAGAGGAUGAACAGCCACACUGGAACUGAGACACGGUCCAGAGUCCUACGGGAGGCAGCAGUGGGGAAUAUUGCACAAUGGGCGCAAGCCUGAUGCAGCCAUGCCGCGUGUAUGAAGAAGGCCUUCGGGUUUUAAAGUACUUUCAGCGAGGAGGCGUUACUCGCAGAAGAAGCACCGGCUAACUCCGUGCCAGCAGCCGCGGUAAUAC
rnacentral:rRNA from 1 species